AUCACCACCCCCUGUCUGCU
rnacentral:miRNA from 1 species